UUGGCAUGUGAUCAAAAGUGGGUGUCAA
rnacentral:piRNA from 1 species